UCAGCUCUUAUUUGUAUGGAAUGGGAUCGUUUGCGUACGUUUGCCGCUAGGGGCGCUGUUCCAAUUGCAUACAAAAUUGGCUUA
rnacentral:pre_miRNA from 1 species